rnacentral:rRNA from 1 species
UACAGAGGUCUCAAGCGUUGUUCGGAUUCAUUGGCGUAAAGGGUGCGUAGGCGGAUCUUUAAGUCAGGGGUGAAAUCCUGGAGCUCAACUCCAGAACUGCCUUUGAUACUGGGGAUCUCGAGUCCGGAAGAGGUGAGUGGAACUCCGAGUGUAGAGGUGAAAUUCGUAGAUAUUCGGAAGAACACCAGUGGCGAAGGCGGCUCACUGGUCCGGUACUGACGCUGAGGUGCGAAAGCGUGGGAGCAACAGG